CUAAGAGUCGAGUUGUUUGGGAAUGCAGCUCUAAGUGGGUGGUAAAUUCCAUCUAAGGCUAAAUAUUGGCGAGAGACCGAUAGCGAACAAGUACAGUGAUGGAAAGAUGAAAAGAACUUUGAAAAGAGAGUGAAAAAGUACGUGAAAUUGUUGAAAGGGAAGGGCUUGAAGUCAGACAUGGUAUUCAGUGAUCAACUGUCUUUCGGGACUGUGCACUCGCUGUUUUACUGGGCCAGCAUCGGUUUAGGCGGUGAGAUAAAUGCAAAAGAAUGUGGCUCCGCUUUCGGGUGGAGUGUUAUAGCUUUUGUUCAUAUCACCAGCUUGGACCGAGGACCGCGCUUCGGCUAGGAUGCUGGCGUAAUGACUUUAAGCCACCCGUCUUGAAACACGGACCAAGGAGUCUAACGUCUAUGCGAGUGUUUGGGUGUAAAACCCGUACGCGUAAUGAAAGUGAACGUAGAUGAGAGCCCUUAAGGGUGCAUCAUCGACCGAUCCUGAUGUUUUCGGAUGGAUUUGAGUAAGAGCAUAGCUGUUGGGACCCGAAAGAUGGUGAACUAUGCCUGAAUAGGGUGAAGCCAGAGGAAACUCUGGUGGAGGCUCGUAGCGAUUCUGACGUGCAAAUCGAUCGUCAAAUUUGGGUAUAGGGGCGAAAGACUAAUCGAAC
rnacentral:rRNA from 1 species